UGGGCUGGCCGGGCGACCGCGUUCCCCUCACGGGGGGACCGAGGAAGGUCCGGGCUCCACAGGGCAGGGUGAUGGUUAACAGCCAUCCGGGGCAACCCGCGGGACAGUGCCACAGAAAACAGACCGCCUCUCCCCACGGGGAGCGGCAAGGGUGAAACGGUGGUGCAAGAGACCACCAGUGCGCCGGGCGACCGGAGCAGCUAGGUAAACCCCACCCGGAGCAAGAUCGAGCAGUGUGUGACCGAGGGCGGCCCGCCCGAGCACACGGGUAGAUCGCUCGAGGGGGUCGGCAACGGCUCCCCUAGAUGGAUGGUCGCCCCGCCUCACGGCGGACAGAACCCGGCCUACAGGCCAGCCCAUUCG
rnacentral:RNase_P_RNA from 1 species